rnacentral:rRNA from 1 species
UUUGACGUUAGCGACAGAAGAAGCACCGGCUAACUCCGUGCCAGCAGCCGCGGUAAUACGGAGGGUGCGAGCGUUAAUCGGAAUUACUGGGCGUAAAGCGCAUGCAGGUGGUUUGUUAAGUCAGAUGUGAAAGCCCGGGGCUCAACCUCGGAAUUGCAUUUGAAACUGGCAGACUAGAGUACUGUAGAGGGGGGUAGAAUUUCAGGUGUAGCGGUGAAAUGCGUAGAGAUCUGAAGGAAUACCGGUGGCGAAGGCGGCCCCCUGGACAGAUACUGACACUCAGAUGCGAAAGCGUGGGGAGCAAACAGGAUUAGAUACCCUGGUAGUCCACGCCGUAAACGAUGUCUACUUGGAGGUUGUGGCCUUGAGCCGUGGCUUUCGGAGCUAACGCGUUAAGUAGACCGCCUGGGGAGUACGGUCGCAAGAUUAAAACUCAAAUGAAUUGACGGGGGCCCGCACAAGCGGUGGAGCAUGUGGUUUAAUUCGAUGCAACGCGAAGAACCUUACCUACUCUUGACAUCCAGAGAACUUUCCAGAGAUGGAUUGGUGCCUUCGGGAACUCUGAGACAGGUGCUGCAUGGCUGUCGUCAGCUCGUGUUGUGAAAUGUUGGGUUAAGUCCCGCAACGAGCGCAACCCUUAUCCUUGUUUGCCAGCGAGUAAUGUCGGGAACUCCAGGGAGACUGCCGGUGAUAAACCGGAGGAAGGUGGGGACGACGUCAAGUCAUCAUGGCCCUUACGAGUAGGGCUACACACGUGCUACAAUGGCGCAUACAGAGGGCGGCCAACUUGCGAAAGUGAGCGAAUCCCAAAAAGUGCGUCGUAGUCCGGAUUGGAGUCUGCAACUCGACUCCAUGAAGUCGGAAUCGCUAGUAAUCGUGGAUCAGAAUGCCACGGUGAAUACGUUCCCGGGCCUUGUACACACCGCCCGUCACACCAUGGGAGUGGGCUGCAAAAGAAGUAGGUAGUUUAACCUUCGGGGGGACGCUUACCACUUUGUGGUUCAUGACUGGGGUGAAGUCGUAACAAGGUAGCGCUAGGGGAACCUGGCGCUGGAUCACCUCCUUA